GUCUUGCCAUCCACAAGUGAUACAGGAAAGAGAAAAUCAGACCUUCAAAGUGACACCAUCAGGUUGCAGUCACCUGCUAAGCGACAACGUCUGUCUGUGCCAGGAUUUGAAGAACCAGUCAUACUGUCCGAUGUGAAAAGCAUCAUGACAUUUGUACAUGCCAGACUAAAUAAGCAAGACAAACUCAGUGAUUUCUUAAAGAAAAAGAUCAGUGAUUUGGAGAUAGACAAGAGGGAGCUGGUUGGUGUCUUUGGUAAAACCGGGGCUGGAAAGAGCUCUUUGAUAAAUGCCAUCAUCAAAGAGAAGAAUCUUUUACCUUCAGGAAGUGUCAGUGCCUGCACCUCAGUCAUGAUCAAAGUGGAAGCUAACAGAGGUAGCUUAAAGUAUGAGGCAGAAAUUGAGUUCAUCGCAAAGGAGGAGUGGAAAGAAGAGUUGUGGUCAUUUCGUCAGUUUCUUGACAAUAAUAAAAAUCAGAAAAAGGAAGAUGAUGAUGAUUAUCGUGAUGCUGUUGAAAAGCUGUCAGCACUGUAUGGCAAAGAAUGGGAAAAGUCCUUUGAAAACCUCAU